rnacentral:rRNA from 1 species
UACAGGGGGUGCAAACGUUGCUCGGAAUCAUUGGGCGUAAAGCGCACGUAGGCGGUCUGUUAUGUCGGAUGUGAAAGCCCUCGGCUCAACUGAGGAAGUGCAUCCGAAACUGGCAGGCUAGAGUACUAAAGAGGGUCGCGGAAUUCCCGGUGUAGAGGUGAAAUUCGUAGAUAUCGGGAGGAACACCGGUGGCGAAGGCGGCGGCCUGGGUAGAUACUGACGCUGAGGUGCGAAAGCGUGGGGAGCAAACAGG